rnacentral:rRNA from 1 species
UACGAACCGGCCAAACGUUAAUCGGAAUUACUGGGCGUAAAGCGUGCGCAGGCGGUUAUGGAAGAAAGAUGUGAAAUCCCCGGGCUUAACCUGGGAACUGCAUUUGUGACUGCAUAGCUGGAGUGCGGCAGAGGGGGAUGGAAUUCCGCGUGUAGCAGUGAAAUGCGUAGAUAUGCGGAGGAACACCGAUGGCGAAGGCAAUCCCCUGGGCCUGCACUGACGCUCAUGCACGAAAGCGUGGGGAGCAAACAGG